CUAAAGGCCCUUUUCAGGGCCACCCACAUAACUCCCUGAAGCGCUGU
rfam:Rattus norvegicus chromosome 17, whole genome shotgun sequence.